AUUGAACGCUGGCGGCAGGCCUAACACAUGCAAGUCGAGCGGAUGAAGGGAGCUUGCUCCUGGAUUCAGCGGCGGACGGGUGAGUAAUGCCUAGGAAUCUGCCUGGUAGUGGGGGAUAACGUCCGGAAACGGGCGCUAAUACCGCAUACGUCCAGAGGGAGAAAGUGGGGGAUCUUCGGACCUCACGCUAUCAGAUGAGCCUAGGUCGGAUUAGCUAGUUGGUGGGGUAAAGGCCUACCAAGGCGACGAUCCGUAACUGGUCUGAGAGGAUGAUCAGUCACACUGGAACUGAGACACGGUCCAGACUCCUACGGGAGGCAGCAGUGGGGAAUAUUGGACAAUGGGCGAAAGCCUGAUGCAGCCAUGCCGCGUGUGUGAAGAAGGUCUUCGGAUUGUAAAGCACUUUAAGUUGGGAGGAAGGGCAGUAAGUUAAUACCUUGCUGUUUUGACGUUACCAACAGAAUAAGCACCGGCUAACUUCGUG
rnacentral:rRNA from 1 species